rnacentral:ncRNA from 1 species
ACUGCGAGUAGAAGCGGUUAGCGUCCGAUCACCUCUGAUCGGCGUGGGACAUUGCUCUUGCG